rfam:Selaginella moellendorffii unplaced genomic scaffold SELMOscaffold_24, whole genome shotgun sequence.
ACCAAUUUCAGGGGCUCUCUCUAUACCCUGUGAUCUAAUGGCUUUGGCGCUAGAUCAACCAUGGCCAUUCUGGUUGAUGGGAUUGUUAGUUCUCAUCAACCCGGGAAACUCCAUGAACAUUU